AGACAGCCAGGAUGUUGGCUUAGAAGCAGCCAUCAUUUAAAGAAAGCGUAAUAGCUCACUGGUCGAGUCGGCCUGCGCGGAAGAUGUAACGGGGCUAAACCAUGCACCGAAGCUGCGGCAGCGACGCUGAUGCGUUGUUGGGUAGGGGAGCGUUCUGUAAGCCUGUGAAGGUGUGCUGUGAGGCAUGCUGGAGGUAUCAGAAGUGCGAAUGCUGACAUAAGUAACGAUAAAGCGGGUGAAAAGCCCGCUCGCCGGAAGACCAAGGGUUCCUGUCCAACGUUAAUCGGGGCAGGGUGAGUCGACCCCUAAGGCGAGGCCGAAAGGCGUAGUCGAUGGGAAACAGGUUAAUAUUCCUGUACUUGGUGUUACUGCGAAGGGGGGACGGAGAAGGCUAUGUUGGCCGGGCGACGGUUGUCCCGGUUUAAGCGUGUAGGCUGGUUUUCCAGGCAAAUCCGGAAAACUAAGGCUGAGGCGUGAUGACGAGGCACUACGGUGCUGAAGCAACAAAUGCCCUGCUUCCAGGAAAAGCCUCUAAGCAUCAGGUAACAUCAAAUCGUACCCCAAACCGACACAGGUGGUCAGGUAGAGAAUACCAAGGCGCUUGAGAGAACUCGGGUGAAGGAACUAGGCAAAAUGGUGCCGUAACUUCGGGAGAAGGCACGCUGAUAUGUAGGUGAAGUCCCUCGCGGAUGGAGCUGAAAUCAGUCGAAGAUACCAGCUGGCUGCAACUGUUUAUUAAAAACACAGCACUGUGCAAACACGAAAGUGGACGUAUACGGUGUGACGCCUGCCCGGUGCCGGAAGGUUAAUUGAUGGGGUCAGCGCAAGCGAAGCUCUUGAUCGAAGCCCCGGUAAACGGCGGCCGUAACUAUAACGGUCCUAAGGUAGCGAAAUUCCUUGUCGGGUAAGUUCCGACCUGCACGAAUGGCGUAAUGAUGGCCAGGCUGUCUCCACCCGAGACUCAGUGAAAUUGAACUCGCUGUGAAGAUGCAGUGUACCCGCGGCAAGACGGAAAGACCCCGUGAACCUUUACUAUAGCUUGACACUGAACAUUGAGCCUUGAUGUGUAGGAUAGGUGGGAGGCUUUGAAGUGUGGACGCCAGUCUGCAUGGAGCCGACCUUGAAAUACCACCCUUUAAUGUUUGAUGUUCUAACGUUGACCCGUAAUCCGGGUUGCGGACAGUGUCUGGUGGGUAGUUUGACUGGGGCGGUCUCCUCCUAAAGAGUAACGGAGGAGCACGAAGGUUGGCUAAUCCUGGUCGGACAUCAGGAGGUUAGUGCAAUGGCAUAAGCCAGCUUGACUGCGAGCGUGACGGCGCGAGCAGGUGCGAAAGCAGGUCAUAGUGAUCCGGUGGUUCUGAAUGGAAGGGCCAUCGCUCAACGGAUAAAAGGUACUCCGGGGAUAACAGGCUGAUACCGCCCAAGAGUUCAUAUCGACGGCGGUGUUUGGCACCUCGAUGUCGGCUCAUCACAUCCUGGGGCUGAAGUAGGUCCCAAGGGUAUGGCUGUUCGCCAUUUAAAGUGGUACGCGAGCUGGGUUUAGAACGUCGUGAGACAGUUCGGUCCCUAUCUGCCGUGGGCGCUGGAGAACUGAGGGGGGCUGCUCCUAGUACGAGAGGACCGGAGUGGACGCAUCACUGGUGUUCGGGUUGUCAUGCCAAUGGCACUGCCCGGUAGCUAAAUGCGGAAGAGAUAAGUGCUGAAAGCAUCUAAGCACGAAACUUGCCCCGAGAUGAGUUCUCCCUGACUCCUUGAGAGUCCUGAAGGAACGUUGAAG
rnacentral:rRNA from 1 species